rnacentral:rRNA from 1 species
GUGGGAAUCUGCCUUUUGGUUUGGAAUAACACGAGGAAACUUGUGCUAAUACCGGAUAAGCCCUUACGGGGAAAGUUUUAACGCCGAAAGAUGAGCCUGCACUUGAUUAGCUAGUUGGUAAGGUAAAAGCUUACCAAGGCAACGAUCAAUAGCUGUUCUUAGAGGAAGACCAGCCACAUUGGGACUGAGACACGGCCCAGACUCCUACGGGAGGCAGCAGUGGGGAAUCUUGCACAAUGGGGGAAACCCUGAUGCAGCGAUGCCGCGUGAGUGAAGAAGGCCCUUGGGUUGUAAAACUCUUUCGUCAGGGAAGAAAAUGACUGUACCUGAAUAAGAAGGUCCGGC